AGGAACUUGUUCCUUGGGUGGCGAGCGGCGGACGGGUGAGUAAUGCCUGGGAAAUUGCCCUGAUGUGGGGGAUAACCAUUGGAAACGAUGGCUAAUACCGCAUGAUGCCUACGGGCCAAAGAGGGGGACCUUCGGGCCUCUCGCGUCAGGAUAUGCCCAGGUGGGAUUAGCUAGUUGGUGAGGUAAUGGCUCACCAAGGCGACGAUCCCUAGCUGGUCUGAGAGGAUGAUCAGCCACACUGGAACUGAGACACGGUCCAGACUCCUACGGGAGGCAGCAGUGGGGAAUAUUGCACAAUGGGCGCAAGCCUGAUGCAGCCAUGCCGCGUGUAUGAAGAAGGCCUUCGGGUUGUAAAGUACUUUCAGUCGUGAGGAAGGUUGUAGUGUGAAUAGCACUAUGAUUUGACGUUAGCGACAGAAGAAGCACCGGCUAACUCCGUGCCAGCAGCCGCGGUAAUACGGAGGGUGCGAGCGUUAAUCGGAAUUACUGGGCGUAAAGCGCAUGCAGGUGGUUUGUUAAGUCAGAUGUGAAAGCCCUGGGCUCAACCUAGGAGUUGCAUUUGAAACUGACAAGCUAGAGUACUGUAGAGGGGGGUA
rnacentral:rRNA from 1 species